rnacentral:rRNA from 1 species
UACGGAGGAUGCAAGCGUUAUCCGGAUUUAUUGGGUUUAAAGGGUGCGUAGGCGGGAAAAUAAGUCAGUGGUGAAAUCCUACAGCUUAACUGUAGAAUUGCCGUUGAUACUGUUUUGCUAGGAUUUGGUUGUAGUGUGCGGAAUGUGUGGUGUAGCGGUGAAAUGCUUAGAUAUCACACAGAACACCGAUUGCGAAGGCAGCACACUAAGUCAUUAUUGACGCUGAGGCACGAAAGUGUGGGGAUCAAACAGGAUUAGAUA